rnacentral:rRNA from 1 species
GUGUGCCUACGGGACGCAGCAGUGGGGAAUAUUGCACAAUGGAGGGAACUCUGAUGCAGCGACGCCGCGUGAGUGAAGAAGUAAUUCGUUAUGUAAAGCUCUAUCAGCAGGGAAGAAAGUGACGGUACCUGAAAAAGAAGCUCCGGCUAAAUACGUGCCAGCAGCCGCGGUAAUACGUAGGGGGCGAGCGUUAUCCGGAUUUACUGGGUGUAAAGGGAGCGUAGACGGUUCUGCAAGUCUGAAGUGAAAGCCCGUGGCUUAACCGCGGAACGGCUUUGGAAACUGUGGAACUGGAGUGCUGGAGG